CCUCUCAUUUUCGUUCUCACAUGCUUCCUUUCUCUCUUCCAUGGCUAAAACACAACAUAAAAUUCUCCCUGCUCAAUCAACAACAACAAUGACUCAUUCUCUCCAUCACUCGUUUUUUCUCUCAGUUAAACAACAAGGAAGCUCAUGGUUCUUUUACUCAGUGAACAACAGCAACAGUGGUGUUUACUUAGAUUCAACCAUGGUGGAUUUUCGUUCUCAUCAUCAUCUUUUCCGCAGACGGCGACAACAACUAUGGUCUCUCGGUGCUUAUUUUUUCUCACGAAGAAUAGCAACAACAACAACUUCUCAGGGUGCUUCUUGGUUGUUUCAUUUUGAAGGGAACCAAGUUUAACAGCAACAAACUACAAUAUUUAGAGAAAGAGUUGAAUCGACGUACCUACAGCAAGGAGAUUUUUGCGGUUUUGAUGUUGAGCUAUGCACAAUAAUAACAUAUUUGCAAGAAUGAUUUAAACAAUAAUAUUUGAGCAUGAGGAUGAAUACAACUUACCUACGGCGAGGAGGUGUUCGCCGGUUUAUUGUUGAGGAUCCUUUGAUGAAGAUGAUACCAUCUCUUUGGAUAUUAGGGAGACUUGAAGAUGGACUUCAAGUUGGAACUCUCUACACCAAGGUAUGAAGAAUUUCUUCUUCACUCUCUUCAAACCAUGGAACUUUGUAACUAGGAAUUCUCACUUCUCAAGUGGUUUUCUUUGGUUUGAAGAAUUGCUUCUUCUUGCCAAGAAACUUGAAAACUAUGAGAGAAAAGAGAGAAGUGAGAAAGCUAGUAGUAUAGUAGCUUUGGUGUGAUUUGCAAUGAAGUGAGGCCUUCUAUUUAUAGGAAAAGUUAAGGAAGUGUUUGGCAUUUGGUAAACUUGAAUGGCAAGUUUCAAUCAUUGCAAGAUAAGAAAAAGAAUAAGAAUAUUCUUUAUGAGAUUUUUCUCUUGCAAGUGGACAUGAAAUAUCUUUGAUUCCUUUUUGAAUUAUUUCUUUUUUUUUGAAUUAUUUCCUUUGUUGGAUUUUUGCUAAUCUCACCCCUUUUUGUCUUGAAUUAUUCUUUUGCUAAAUUCACCCCUCUUAUGUUUCUUUUUCAUGUUGCAUGAGGACUUUGAAGAAAGCAUGAAGAAGCUUGAACUUGAAGGAUGAAGACUUUGAAGAUUGAAGAAUUCAAGAAAGCAUUGCAUUUUCUUUUAUUCUUUGUAAUCCAAAUUUAUUCCACUUUAGAAUUGUAUGAACUUGUAUUCUUGAAAGUGAAUAGAAUUUUGGAAUGAUGUAAUUCUUGAAUUUUGGAUUCAUUUGUUCCAUGUAAAGAAACAUCAUUUGUAAAUGCUUGAAUUUCUCUUAGAA